UGACAGGAAAUUGCUGGGAAGUCUCUUGAGAGCAGUGACCAUUUCCCAUUCCCGAUAACCGCAUGUGGGGGUCCUACACCAACCCACCACAACCUCACCGAUGCCGAGCGCUGUUGCGCAUUCACACUCCGGUCACUCUCGUGGGUGUGCCGUGGCACCUUCAUGUGGUUUGAAUCUGCACGUUCCUGUAGGUGAACCGUGCUGAGCCUUUCUUCAUGUGCUUAUUGGCCAAGGGUGUUCAUUCCUUUGUGAAGAAUGUGUUCAAAUCUUUUGCUCAUUAAAAAAAAUUCGUUGUUGG
rnacentral:lncRNA from 1 species